rnacentral:rRNA from 1 species
UACGGAGGGAGCUAGCGUUGUUCGGAAUUACUGGCCGUAAAGCGCGCGUAGGCGGCUUUGUAAGUUAGAGGUGAAAGCCCGGGGCUCAACCCCGGAAUUGCCUUUAAGACUGCAUCGCUUGAAUCCGGGAGAGGUGAGUGGAAUUCCGAGUGUAGAGGUGAAAUUCGUAGAUAUUCGGAAGAACACCAGUGGCGAAGGCGGCUCACUGGACCGGCAUUGACGCUGAGGUGCGAAAGCGUGGGGAGCAAACAGG